UGUAAAGGAAUAAAAAAUAAGAAUGUAUGUUUUUCACCAGCAGCUUCCACCUUCCGGAGGCGAAGGUGGAAGGUAGGAAGGGAGACAAAGCACACACACCCUUCCAUUGUUUGCUUAGGCACCAACAUGCGCCUCGUGAAUCAGCUUCCAAGCCGGAGGGAAACCGGGCACUCAAGGAGCAGAAAGGAUUCAUUCUGAUUUCCUUUGAAUUCUUUGGCAGACACCACUUCCUUUCUGCAGUCAAGAG
rnacentral:lncRNA from 11 species